GACAGAGGUGCCGAGCGUUAGGCGGAAUCACUGGGCUUAAAGCGUGUGUAGGCGGCCCGUUAAGUGUCUUGUGAAAUCCCCCGGCUCAACCGGGGGAACGGCUGGGCAUACUGGCGGGCUUGGGUCGCUCAGGGGCAGACGGAACAGGCGGUGGAGCGGUGAAAUGCGUAGAUAUCGUCAAGAACACCGAUAGCGAAGGCAGCUUACUGGGCUGUAACUGACGCUGAGAGACGAAAGCUAGGGGAGCAAAUGGGG
rnacentral:rRNA from 1 species